rnacentral:rRNA from 1 species
CUACGGGGGGCAGCAGUGAGGAAUAUUGCACAAUGGGGGGAACCCUGAUGCAGCAACGCCGCGUGGAGGAUGACGCAUUUCGGUGUGUAAACUCCUUUUAUAUGUCAAGAAAAUGACGGUAGCAUAUGAAUAAGCACCGGCUAACUCCGUGCCAGCAGCCGCGGUAGUACGGAGGGUGCAAGCGUUACUCGGAAUCACUGGGCGUAAAGGACGCGUAGGCGGGUUGGAAAGUCAGGUGUGAAAUCCUACAGCUUAACUGUAGAACUGCACUUGAAACUUCUAAUCUAGAGUAUGGGAGGGGGAGAUGGAAUUAGUGGUGUAGGGGUACAAUCCGUAGAUAUCACUAGGAAUACCUAAAGCGAAGGCGAUCUCCUGGAACAUUACUGACGCUAAGGCGUGAAAGCGUGGGGAGCAAACAGGAGUAGAUACCCCCGUAGUC